rnacentral:sRNA from 1 species
GCUGGGUACAGUGGUGCAUGCCUGUAAUCCCAGCUGCUCGGGAAGCUCAGACAGGACGAUUUUGAGUUCAAAGUCAGCCUCAGCAAAGGCAAGGUGCUAAGCAACUCAGUGAGAUCCUGUCUCU